UACAGAGGUGGCAAGCGUUGUUCGGAAUUACUGGGCGUAAAGGGCGCGUAGGCGGCCUUCUAAGUCAGACGUGAAAUCCCCGGGCUUAACCUGGGAACUGCAUUGGUGACUGGCAGGCUUUGAGUGUGGCAGAGGGAGGUAGAAUUCCACGUGUAGCAGUGAAAUGCGUAGAGAUGUGGAGGAAUACCGAUGGCGAAGGCAGCCUCCUGGGCCAACACUGACGCUCAUGCACGAAAGCGUGGGGAGCAAACAGG
rnacentral:rRNA from 1 species